AUGAACAGCCUCUCCAAACAGGUCUUCACGCUCAGCCAGGAGCUGCAGGAAAUGACGCGUCUGCUCAAGCCCCUCCUCCAAACUGCCCCGCAGCCAAUCCUGAUGACCAUGAUGCCAAAUUGGACGCCGCCCCCGAGCAGCGCCGGCCAGCUGUCGACGGGCACCGGUCACGUGGUGCCGCCCGCCGCCACGCCCCGUCCCCCCCAGAGGCCUGGCACCCAUUCCCUGUUGGACAGCGGGGACACGGGGGGCGUGGAUUUGCCAGGGUGCCUUCUCCCGACUCCCCAUUCACCAAAGACGCUUCACUCUCCUUCGGCGUCGCCGCAGCGCCCGGCCGACGUCAAGGGCCCCACCCUCUCCCCCAUGUCCUCCCCGGACGAAGGUCUUCCCGAUGGAGUCCUCCGAAACCUCCGCGCCUCCUCCAGUAACGGGAUAUAUCUGCCCUCGCUGCAGGACCAGGACCUGCACCCCCCGGCGUCUCACACCCCUUCCCCCUCCCUCUCCUUCUCCAUGUCCCUCUGCUCCUCGCCGUCCCUCUCCCCCUGCCGGGGCCCCCACCCACCUGGCGGCCGAGACAGCAGAGGCCUGCUGCCUCCGCCUCCCUCACAGGACACUCCCCCUCCUCCUCCCCCGUCCUGCCACUGCUCGGCUCCCCCCUCGCUCACGUCCUCCCCCGGAGUGCGUCAGCUGAGACCUUCCCGCUCCGCCCCCCUCCACCUGUCCCCCGUCCCCUCGUCUCUGGACUUUGUCAGUGCCCGCAGAAGGCAGAGGGACACCCAGAAUGCACCUUGGCGUACCUCGCAGCCGCUCGGCGGGGGGGGCCCGGCCCGCCGCUCGGCCCCAGGAGCUGGAGAUGCACGAGUGGCGGCGCCAGGCGGAGGAGGCCGAGUCCUCCACGGAGCACAUCAGCUUCAUCGACGAAGAGGAGCCGGCGUUGUGAAACGGCUUCAAAACUGCGAGGCGACAAAAAGGAGGAAGAAAGAAAAAAAAAAAAAAAUAGGAGUAGCAGAAAAAAAACGAAAAGCGACGGGAACAACGAGCGGUGACCAAGACGGUGAUUCGUCCCGCAGGUUAACAGGAACACGCCGGAGACGACGUCUGCAGAACCACAACAGCACAACUUGUGCCAAGAAUGGACGCGUCUUCACCCCAGACAUUUAG
ensembl:lncRNA